rnacentral:rRNA from 1 species
CCUACGUGUGGCAGCAGUGAGGAAUAUUGGUCAAUGGGCGCGAGCCUGAACCAGCCAAGUAGCGUGAAGGAUGACUGCCCUACGGGUUGUAAACUUCUUUUAUAAAGGAAUAAAGUGAGGCACGUGUGCCUUUUUGUAUGUACUUUAUGAAUAAGGAUCGGCUAACUCCGUGCCAGCAGCGGCGGUAAUACGGAGGAUCCGAGCGUUAUCCGGAUUUAUUGGGUGUAAAGGGAGCGUAGAUGGGUUGUUAAGUCAGUUGUGAAAGUUUGCGGCUCAACCGUAAAAUUGCAAUUGAUACUGGCCGUCUUGAGUACAGUUGAGGUAGGCGGAAUUCGUGGUGUAGCGGUGA